rnacentral:lncRNA from 11 species
CUUCCCGGCCGGCUGGCGCGCAGGCGCAGGCGCUGCGGGAUGACGGCAUCGUCCGGCGCGCGGGAAGAUUCUCCUCAGAAGAGGCGGCUCGUCGGCAGGCGGGAGGGUCCGGCGCUGCCUCUCUUGCCGCCAUGGCCGCCCAGAAGAGACCCCGGCCCCGCCGCCUCCCGCUCCGGGUAAAUAUUACAGUUAUUGCAUCUCAGCACUCAGAGGCUGGUUGUCAUGGAGAAGUAGGCGGGGCCAACUGCCGGUUUGUUGAAGAAGUGCAGAGUUUUAAAAAGGGAUUCAGUCUGUGCUCUGGGAAGUCCCUCCCUCCCGGCGCAUCAUCCGCGCUGCUUUGACGCUCCCAGCUCGGCGUCCCUUCUUCGUCUUCCCCUCGCGCUCCUCCGCGGAGGCCCUCCGGUCGGCCCCUCGCUCUCUGACUCUGUGAACGGUGGGGCGGCCCCCAAUGCCGGUCAUCCCCAUUCCCCGCCGGGUGCGCUCUUUCCAUGGGCCCCACACCACCUGCCUGCACUCGGCCUGCGGGCCGGUCCGGAGUGCUCCCUUGGUGCGCACCAAGUACCACAACUUCGACCUCUACCUGAAGUCCCGCUGGAUGUACGGCUUCAUCCGCUUCUUGCUGUACUUCAGCUGCAGCCUCUUCACCUCCCUGCUCUGGGUGGCGCUCUCCCUCUUGUUCGGACUCCAGUACUUCGGCAUCCGGGUCUUCCUCCGCUUCCAGUACAAACUCUCUGUCAUCUUGCUCCUGCUGGGGAGGCGGCGGGUGGACUUCGGCCUCCUCAACGAACUCCUCAUCUACGGCAUCCACGUCACCAUGCUCCUGGUGGGCGGCCUGGGCUGGUGCUUCAUGGUCUUUGUGGAUAUGUGAAUAAUAAAAUGCGGGCGCAUGUCCGCCAGGGACUCGAAACAUGGUGCGCGGCGUCUUUGUGUUGGCCAUUCGUUCAGCGCUGGGGGUAUUUCGCAUUCGGUGCAGUGCAGGGAAAACAGGACUCUGGGGAGAGCAGACAAUCGCAAAAAGACAUUACUAUGGGUUUUUAUACUACAGUAGAGUCUCACUUAUCCAACAUAAACGGGCCAGCAGAACGUUGGAUAAGUGAAUAUGUUGGAUAAUAAGGAUUAAGGAAAAACCUAUUAAACAUCAAAUUAGGUUAUAAUUUUACAAAUUAAGCACCAAAACAUGUUAUACAACAAAUUUGGCAGAAAAAGUAGUUCAAUAUGCAGUAAUGCUAUGUAGUAAUUACUGUAUUAUGCGAAUUUAGCACCAAAAUAUC